UACGUAGGGUGCGAGCGUUUAAUCGGAAUUACUGGGCGUAAAGCGUGCGCAGGCGGUUGUGCAAGACAGAUGUGAAAUCCCCGGGCUCAACCUGGGAAUUGCAUUUGUGACUGCACGGCUAGAGUGUGUCAGAGGGGGGUAGAAUUCCACGUGUAGCAGUGAAAUGCGUAGAGAUGUGGAGGAAUACCGAUGGCGAAGGCAGCCCCCCUGGGGAUAACACUGACGCUCAUGCACGAAAGCGUGGGGGAGCAAACAGG
rnacentral:rRNA from 1 species